GAUGCUGAACACGCCUCCAAUACACAAGCAAUCCUCCACACGCAUGGUUUGCUGGCAAGCAACCCGCCGGGCUGGAGCCAGUGCCUUCGCCCCGGAUUCCACAUUCGUUGAAUGGACAGCUUCGGUGAAAUCCCAUCCAACCUGGUAAAUUAUUAAAUCCUCCCGAAUCCCAUAAUAGGAUGUUCUCAGUGGCGAAAUGCCACGCGAUUUACGUGUGCAUUCAUGCUCCUCAAUUUCCGUCGCGGGCGUUUGUAUUUAUUCUUUAAUUUAAGAGGCUGUGGACAAAGCUCCCGAAAAUACC
rnacentral:sRNA from 1 species